GGUCUCAAAUCUAAAGAAUUUGGCGGUCUCUAAAUCAAAUAAGAGGAAUUUGCUAUAUAAACGAUGACCCACGAAAAAUCUUACUAGGUUUAAUAAAUGUUUGUAUACCGCCAUCUAAAGAAUGUUUUUAGAUAUUUUUGGAAUAAGUAAAUCUUUUAUGUUAGGUCAAGGUGCAGCUGAUAGCCAAGUUUUAGUUAGUUACAAUACUAUUUAGUUUUGGAAAAGUGUUUAAAUACAUAAGGAAAGAGGAUUUUAAGGUAAUUUGUAUUUUAAUAUGUUAAGGUGGCUGCAGGUCUUAGAGAUGUACAUAUCGCCCGUCGCUCGCGGGAA
rnacentral:rRNA from 1 species